rnacentral:tRNA from 1 species
GCCCCGGUAGCUCAACGGGAGAGCGCCGUCCUGACGCGACGGAGGCCGGGGGUUCGACACCCUCUCGGGGCACCA